rnacentral:rRNA from 1 species
CAGAUGUGAAAGACCCGGGGCGUCAACCUCCGGAAUAGCAUUUGUAAACUAGGCAGACUAGAGUACUGUAGAGGGGGGUAGGAAUUUCAGGUGUAGCGGUGAAAUAGCGUAGAGAUCUGAAGGAAUACCGGUGGCGAAGGCGGCCCCCUCGGACAGAUACUGACACUCAGAUGCGAAAGCGUGGGGAGCAAACAGGAUUAGAUACCCUGGUAG